rnacentral:rRNA from 1 species
AUUGAACGCUGGCGGCAUGCUUUACACAUGCAAGUCGAACGGCAGCACGGGUGCUUGCACCUGGUGGCGAGUGGCGGACGGGUGAGUAAUACAUCGGAACGUGUCCAGAAGAGGGGGAUAACGCAUCGAAAGAUGUGCUAAUACCGCAUAUGCUCUGAGGAGGAAAGUGGGGGAUCGAAAGACCUUACGCUUUUGGAGCGGCCGAUGUCUGAUUAGCUAGUUGGUGGGGUAAGGGCCUACCAAGGCGACGAUCAGUAGUUGGUCUGAGAGGACGACCAGCCACACUGGGACUGAGACACGGCCCAGACUCCUACGGGAGGCAGCAGUGGGGAAUUUUGGACAAUGGGCGCAAGCCUGAUCCAGCAAUGCCGCGUGAGUGAAGAAGGCCUC